rnacentral:rRNA from 1 species
AUUGAACGCUGGCGGCAGGCCUAACACAUGCAAGUCGAGCGGAGCGGCUGACGGGUGCGUAAUGCCUAUGCAUCUGCCUGGUCGUGUGGGAUAACGUCCGGAAACGGGCUCUAAUACCGCAUACUAUCAGAUGAGCCUAGGUCGGAUUAGCUAGUUGGUGGGGUAAAGGCCUACCGAGGCGACGAUCCGUAACUGGUCUGAGAGGAUGAUCAGUCACACUGGAACUGAGACACGGUCCAGAAUCCUACGGGAGGCAGCAGUGGGGAAUAUUGGACAAUGGGCGAAAGCCUGAUGCAGCGAUGCCGCGUGUGUGAAGAAGGUCUUCGGAUUGUAAAGCACUUUAAGUUGGGAGGCGUUACCAACAGAAUAAGCACCGGUUAACUUCGUGCCAGCAGCCGCGGUAAUAC